rnacentral:rRNA from 1 species
GACGAACGCUGGCGGCGUGCCUAAUACAUGCAAGUAGGACGCAGUUGCGAACGGGUGAGAAAUGCGUAGGUAACAGCCUAUUAGAGGGGGAUAACUAUUGGAAACGAUAGCUAAUACCGCAUAUGAAUAGAUGGACCUGCGUUGUAUUAGCUAGUAGGUAGGGUAACGGCCUAGCUAGGCAACGAUACAUAGCCGACCUGAGAGGGUGAGCGGCCACACUGGGACUGAGACACGGCCCAGACUCCUACGGGAGGCAGCAGUAGGGAAUCUUCGGCAAUGGGGGGAACCCUGACCGAGCAACGCCGCGUGAGUGAAGAAGGUUUUCGGAUCGUAAAGCUCUGUUGUUAAGGAAGCGGUACUUAACCAGAAAGGGACGGCUAACUACGUGCCAGCAGCCGCGGUAAUAC